GACGUAGGGCGCGAGCGUUGUCCGGAUUUAUUGGGCGUAAAGAGCUCGUAGGCGGCUUGUCGCGUCGACCGUGAAAACUUGGGGCUCAACCCCAAGCCUGCGGUCGAUACGGGCAGGCGUCGAGUUCGGUAGGGGAGACUGGAAUUCCUGGUGUAGCGGUGAAAUGCGCAGAUAUCAGGAGGAACACCGAUGGCGAAGGCAGGUCUCUGGGCCACUACUGACGCUGAGAAGCGAAAGCAUGGGGAGCGAACAGG
rnacentral:rRNA from 1 species